rnacentral:rRNA from 1 species
AACGAACGCUGGCGGCAGGCCUAAUACAUGCAAGUCGAACGGAUGUAGCAAUACAUUAGUGACGCACGGGUGCGGAACACGUGGGAACAUACCCUUUGGUAAGGAAUAAUGUCUGGAAACGGACACUAAUACCUUAUAAUGACUUCGGUCCAAAGAUUUAUCGCCAAAGGAUUGGCCCGCGUCUGAUUAGGUAGUUGGUGGGGUAAUGGCCUACCAAGCCUACGAUCAGUAGCUGGUCUGAGAGGAUGAUCAGCCACACUGGAACUGAGACACGGUCCAGACUCCUACGGGAGGCAGCAGUAAGGAAUAUUGGACAAUGGGCGCAAGCCUGAUCCAGCCAUGCCGCGCGAGUGAAGAAGGCCUUAGGGUUGUAAAGCUCUUUCAAUAGUGAAGAUAAUGACGGUAGCUAUAGAAGAAGCCCCGGCUAAAUUCGUGCCAGCCGCCGCAGUAA